rnacentral:rRNA from 1 species
UGAGGCGUGGCUUCCGGAGCUAACGCGUUAAAUCGACCGCCUGGGGAGUACGGCCGCAAGGUUAAAACUCAAAUGAAUUGACGGGGGCCCGCACAAGCGGUGGAGCAUGUGGUUUAAUUCGAUGCAACGCGAAGAACCUUACCUGGUCUUGACAUCCACAGAACUUUCCAGAGAUGGAUUGGUGCCUUCGGGAACUGUGAGACAGGUGCUGCAUGGCUGUCGUCAGCUCGUGUUGUGAAAUGUUGGGUUAAGUCCCGCAACGAGCGCAACCCUUAUCCUUUGUUGCCAGCGGUCCGGCCGGGAACUCAAAGGAGACUGCCAGUGAUAAACUGGAGGAAGGUGGGGAUGACGUCAAGUCAUCAUGGCCCUUACGACCAGGGCUACACACGUGCUACAAUGGCAUAUACAAAGAGAAGCGACCUCGCGAGAGCAAGCGGACCUCAUAAAGUAUGUCGUAGUCCGGAUUGGAGUCUGCAACUCGACUCCAUGAAGUCGGAAUCGCUAGUAAUCGUAGAUCAGAAUGCUACGGUGAAUACGUUCCCGGGCCUCGU